rnacentral:rRNA from 1 species
ACAGGUAGCAAUACCGGGUGGCGACCGGCGCACGGGUGAGUAACGCGUAUGCAACUUGCCUAUCAGAGGGGAUAACAGUUGGAAACGGCUGCUAAUACCGCAUAAGCGCACAGCAUCGCAUGAUGCAGUGUGAAAAACUCCGGUGGUAUAAGAUGGACCCGCGUUGGAUUAGCUAGUUGGUGAGGUAACGGCCCACCAAGGCAACGAUCCAUAGCCGACCUGAGAGGGUGACCGGCCACAUUGGGACUGAGACACGGCCCAAACUCC